rnacentral:misc_RNA from 1 species
AAAACUCAUUUCCGCAUUCACCUUUUUAACGUUUAAUGCCUUGCUAAGAUUUUUAAGGGGUGUAUUUUAAUUCUGAAUUACGUGUGUGUCUCGGGGGAAAAAAAAAUUAAAUAACUCGUCCAACCAAUCUAUCCAAUCCAAGAAAUUCAUGCUGAUGCGAAGGAUCGGUUUGGGAUCGCAAGCUUACAAUAAUUUUAUGUAAUGUAGAUUGGGUCGGUUUGGAA